AAUGAUCUAGCUCUGGCGGGUCUAUCAAAGUUCUAGAAUACGCUCACGUUCUUCCUUUUUUGAAUACGGUGCCUUAAACAUCAGCUCAAGACGAGGUCCGAGAAGUACACCCAUUCACCAAUUGCCUUGGGCAUGGUUUCAUCAGAAAAAGUGAUUUUAUUUUAUUAAAAAAAAAAAAAAAAAACCCUGAGACCAAUCUUGGAGAAUAUCGGAAUCCAAACGGGGUAAGAGUAGAUAAUCAAGCACAUAUGGUCUCCAUCCGUAGUGUUCCGGGUUCUGGAGUGGCAUUGGCAUUUUCGAGAUCAACCGUCUUCGCCUCAUGAAUUUGACAGCCUGGUUUCAGGAGCAGUGGAUACAAUAACCAAGCCAAUGAAAACCACGAGAUUAUCAUUCGUGUGCCGUAGCUCUCCCGUUCGACAUUUCGACAUUUUGAAGAUGCGGCCGUGUUAGCC
rnacentral:sRNA from 1 species